GCCCGGCUAGUUCAGUCAGUAGCAUGAGACUCUUAAGCUCAGGGUCGUGGGUUUGAGCCCCAUGCUGGGCA